rnacentral:rRNA from 1 species
UGCGUGAUUACGUCCCUGCCCUUUGUACACACCGCCCGUCGCUACUACCGAUUGAAUGGCUCAGUGAGGNCUCCGGACUGGCCCAGAGAGGUGGGCAACUACCACUCAGGGCCGGAAAGUUGUCCAAACUCGGUCAUUUAGAGGAAGUAAAAGUCGUAACAAGGUCUCCGUUGGUGAACCAGCGGAGGGAUCAUUA